UACGUAGGUGGCAAGCGUUGUCCGGAUUUAUUGGGUUUAAAGGGUGCGUAGGCGGUUUUGUAAGUCAGUGGUGAAAUACUCUAGCUUAACUAGAGGGGUGCCAAUGAUACUGCGGAACUUGAGUACAGAUGAGGUAGGCGGAAUUGACGGUGUAGCGGUGAAAUGCAUAGAUAUCGUCAAGAAUACCGAUAGCGAAGGCAGCUUACUAUGGUCUUAUUGACGCUGAGGCACGAAAGCGUGGGGAUCAAACAGG
rnacentral:rRNA from 1 species